GGCACAGUAGCGAAGUGGUCAAACGCGGCUGACUUAAGAUCAGCUCCCUCUGGGUUCGCAGGUUCGAUCCCUGCCUGUGCUU
rnacentral:tRNA from 1 species